GAUGAACGCUAGCGGCAGGCCUAAUACAUGCAAGUCGGACGGGAUUCAGGAGCUUGCUUCUGAUGAGAGUGGCGCACGGGUGCGUAACACGUAUGUAACCUACCUUUAUCAGGGGGAUAGCCUCUCGAAAGAGAGAUUAAGCCCGCAUAAAAUCACAGCACAGCAUUGUGUAAUGAUCAAAUAUUUAUAGGAUAAAGAUGGGCAUGCGGAACAUUAGCUAGAUGGCGGGGUAACGGCCCACCAUGGCGACGAUGUUUAGGGGAUCUGAGAGGAUGGCCCCCCACACCGGUACUGAGACACGGACCAGACUCCUACGGGAGGCAGCAGUAAGGAAUAUUGGUCAAUGGGCGGAAGCCUGAACCAGCCAUGCCGCGUGCAGGAAGACGGCCCUACGGGUUGUAAACUGCUUUUAUACGGGAAUAAACCCAGAUACGUGUAUCUGGCUGAAUGUACUGUAAGAAUAAGGAUCGGCUAACUCCGUG
rnacentral:rRNA from 1 species